AUUUCAAUGGAACACACCUGAAACGUAACACAGUUAAAAUUUUGGCGUUGCUUGAAGUGGUAGUGCAUCUCUUCUUUGUUCCUGACUAAAAAUAGAUUUAUCUUUCAUUCUGGUUGCCCUUUAUUAACAUUUGAAAUGGAUAACCAAAAAUUUCAUAUUCUCGUUGUAAUGCUUUUAUUUUUUAAAAAAAGGAGAAAAUUCUUCAAAGACUUGCAAAAACAUUUGUGAAGUUUAUGGUGAUGAUGCUGGAUGUGAAUCAACUGUUCGAAGGUGGUUUGCAAAAUUUAAAGCUGGAGAUUUUAACUUAGAAGAUGAUAGUCGCAGUGAAGGACCUUCAAAAUUGGAUGAAGAUAUUUUGAAGGCAAAAAUCCAAGAAACCUCAAAUAUUACAAUUAGAGAGCUUACAGAGGAGUUGGAAGUUUCUAAAAGCACGGCUCAUGAACACCUAGUGAGACUACGAUAUAUUUCUCGCUAUAAUGUAUGGGUUCCUCACAAACGCUCAGAAAAAAAUUGCUUAGACAAGUAUUCCGUUUGUAAUGCGCUUUUGAAAUGGAACGAAAGCAUACCUUUUUUAAACAACUUGUAACUGGAGAUGAAAAAUGGAUUGUGUACGAAAACUUAUUGCGAAAAAGAUCCUGGAGUUUACGUAAGGAUCUUCCAAAUCAGCAAUCAAAGACGAAUAUCCAUUCCAAAAAAGCUAUGUUUUAUGUUUGGUGGGAUCAUAGAGGCAUUAUUUAUUAUGAGCUUCUCCCACAAAACCAGACUAUUAAUUUUGAUGUGUACUAUCGUCAGCUAGCUAAUUUGAACCAAAAAUUAACACCGGAGAUUGCCAACAGGAAAGGGGGGAUCGCUCCAACAAGACAAUGCCUGACCACAUGUGCCUUUGGCUACCCGAACAAAGUUACAUGAAUUUGGCUGGGAUCUCUUGCCCCAUCCACCAUAUUCUCCUGAUAUUACGCCAUCCGACUACCACUUGUUUUUGUCUCUAUAGAAUUCAUUGAAAGGAAAAACAUUUAACGAUUUAGAUGGAGUUAUCUCGAUAACUUUUUUUCUUCAAAACCAAUCAAAUUUUAUGUUGAUGGAAUAUUUAAAUUGCCUGACAGAUGGGCAAAGGUCAUAGAUAAUAAUGGAAAUUAUUUCAUUCACUAAAAUUUAUUGGAAGGUUAAUUAUUUAUAUCCCUUUUUGCAUAUUAAAAAACGCUCAGAACUUUCCGGACAACCUAAUAUAUACAGGAGUACGACGAGCAGGACGAACAUGAAAAGGAGAAUAACUCUUUUGACUGCGGCCGUGCUGGAGCAUCACCUUGAAGAGUUUUAGUCGAAGGGAUCGACGCCAGGACUUAUUCUUUGUACAAGGUCACAAAUCCAUGACACAAUCGAUUAAAUCAUCCCCAUUAUCUGAUUGGUAAUUUAUUUUAUCGAAAAUUUGGAAAGGGAAAUUAUUAUUGCUGAAUCCUUAGAUGAGACCACAAUAUUCAAAGACCAAAAUCUUAAGGCCAAUAAUUUUGAGGAAAGAAGAAAGUCGAUUACAUCGACCCUGGUAAUUAUUCCGUCGACCACGAAAGAAUGAAAAGUAAGGAUGACUUCGGCGGUAUUUGAACUCAGAAUCUAAAGCAGGAAGAAAUUCCACUAAGCAUUUUGCCCCGCACAGCAACAAAUGACGUACUAUUAGAUAGACGAUGUCUGAGAAGAGAAAAUGACUUGAUGAUCAUGGAUAGAAUCAUGAUCAACGUGGCUCUAAACAACAAGAAACAUAUGUACCAUCACCACCAUACACUUGUUAACUGUUUUGGUCAAAUCAUUUUCAGAAAGCUGGGUUUGCGAUAUGACACGAACCACCAAGCAAGCAACACAUAAACGGGCAUUAAAUCUCCUCUUGAGCAAGUGAAA